rnacentral:misc_RNA from 1 species
AGGAACACCAGGUAGACACCAAUGGCUGCAAUCCAUAUCGUUGUGGCCUCCAUGGCCAUAGACGGAGGGAUGGCCAUCUUUUCUUAGCUGUGAAAGGGCAGUGACGUUAAGCAAGUACACUGGCUUUUGUAUACCUCGCAAUACUUUCUCUACAACGAGCUCUGCUGGGUGGGGACCCGCCGGAUAAUUUGGCCCUGAGACUGGCUGCUUUUGCCCCUCGCAGUACCUUGCUUUGUCCUCCCCCCAGUCACUUCCAUUGUUAUGAUCGGGUGAAACUCCUUGGAAGAAGACCAUGGUUUUUGCAGGAUGUACAUUGGUGUCAACCCAUUUAGCCCAAGUAUUCAAAGCCUUCUCAUAUGCUACCAAUCGAUCCAUGUCUUGGUACACAUUGUUCCCCUCUUGGAUAAAAUUCCAUGGUUGUUUUCUUCCAGUGUGAAGCCACCAAUGCCAAGUAUUGAAUAUCAAAACAUCAAUCCCUUUCCAUAGCUUUCCACCUUCAAUGGAAUCCAGUUUCAGAACAGCACCUUUACUUGUAUUCACUGUGUCUACUAGAAAUGCAUUGCGUGAAAACAUCACUUUUGUCUUGUAUUCCGGGAAUGUGAAGGUGGAGAGGCCUCCGGUCCUCACGGAGGUAUAGCUAGCAUUAGGAACAGUCACAUGAAGCAUACACGUGAGCGAUUGCCAUUGGUUCAAACUUAGCGAAUCUCCUACGAACAUUAUUCUUUUCCGUUUCACUUUUAAUAAGAAAUCUCUGCCGUUAAAUCUUGGAAAGGUGCAGUCUGCAGUGGGCUGCCAUCUGUAUUUGAGAUAGUCUCUGUCUGGUCUACCAUUUUUCAGGCAAUCAAACUCCUUUUCUAUGAAGGGACAUUGUGAAGUAUCAUAGAGAGGAUAUGAUUCAUCAUGAACCCAACUUCCUUCAAACACAUCACACCCACUGUUUGCGAUUCCUGAUACCUUCGGCAACUGUUCAUCGCCAUCAACAUGGUGCACUGCUGAAAGCACCAGCAGCAUUAUUACUGUUGCUUCCAUGGCUAAAGCUCCCGUUAGGCAGAGCGUGGGAGAAGAUGGGUGUAUACUAGUAAGCAGAAUGCUAUUUAUAAUAUAAUGAUUUUAUAAGUCUUCUUUCAUUAUUAAGAUAUAUUAUUUUAAUUAAUAUAUCUGCCAGUUAUUCCAUGAUAGAGACUAUUUACAGGCAAUAUAUAAUUUUUAUUUUAUUUUAAAAAUACAGGUUAGAAUUGUUGGCG